GAUAAGUGUCUUAGUACUCAAUUUUCGAAAAAAAAGAACAAGGAGAAAGGAAAUAGGAUAAUUAAGUACUAUAUUAUUUUAAAAUUGAGGAAAGUUCUUCCUUUUCUUCAUCCUCAAACAGCCGACUUUUUCCCCAAAAGAAGAACAGUCAUUUCCUUCUUUCAAGCUAAUUUCGUAGAGAAAUUUCAAGUGACAGCUCCAAUAUCUUGAAAGAAAAAGGUUCCGGCUAGGAACGAGCCUAACACUAGAGUACGAAGUAAGAGAAACAUAUCAGGUUAAGUUGGGAUGAAGAUGGAAGUGUGCUGAGCUUGAGCUUUUUCGUUUAUGUAAAUAAUAAUAGGCUCAGGAUGUUGUGUCUUCAUACAUAAUGUCCAAUGAUGUACUCCGCUGCAACACUUUAAUUCUCUUAUCACUUUUGACGUGUUGUAGAAUGUUUUAAAACCUUAACCUGUAUAUGAGCUUGACAAAUCUUGGUUAUGAUGUUUAUUUGGUUUAAACUUCUUUUGUUAAAGUUUGAUGAUGACGAACCUCUUGAAAUUCAUUGAUUAUAUAUAUGUGAGUUGUUAAUUA